rnacentral:tRNA from 1 species
UUCUAAUAUGGCAGAUUAGUGCAAUGGAUUUAAAUCCCAUAAAUAAAGAUAAAACUUUUUUUAGA